CCUCCCCUUUGAAAAAAGAAGAGUAACAGUAACAAGUGAAUAUUAAGUAGAUUGGAUCAUGAGCAUUACUAUAUAUAUGUAAGGAGCGGAUUUGGUUGUAUGUUCAUGUGGUUGUGUUUUGAGGAAAGAAACAAAGAAAAGAGAGAAAGAAAGAAAGAAAGAUGGACGCUCCAGGACAGCAGGAGAUGAGUUAUUAUGAACAUGUUCAGAAACGCCAUGAAGAGAAGGGCUGUCUCUAUGCCUGUUUGUUCACCUUGUGUUGCUGUUUCUGCUGCUAUGAGACCUGCGAGUGCUGCUUCGAUAUUCUCUGCUGCUGCUGCCCUUAGUUAAUCUUCAUCGUCUUCUCCUGUGCUUCUGCUCUCUCUCUCUCUCUCUGUGACCUUUAAUUAUGUUGUCUGAAGAUCUUCGUCUUCGUCUUCUCCUCCUCCUCUUCUGUGUCUUCCAUAAACCUCUUGAUGAAUAAAAUGGAAUUGCCUCCUUAUUUAUAAUUCAAGCUUUCUAAUUCGCUUCUCUCUUUCUCAUCAAGCAUCAUGCCAGGCCAUAUGUUAUGAGUUGCACGGGAAAUCUCAUAAAUAUUGUGGAAUUUAUAAGUUCAAUAAGUUCUCCUCCUAAUAGGCUAGUCUUUUAGGAUUUGACUCUCCUUUUGUAUUCUAAAUCGUGUUACGAUAAUAUCAACUUAGAAUUGGAUGUCCA